rnacentral:lncRNA from 1 species
CUAACACUCUUUUGUCUGCAGUUAUUGUUAUUGUUAUUAUUGUUAUUACAGGUUAUUGUUUGCUUACUGGAUUGUUGCUUGUCACUUAUAGGUCGAGGUUGCAGAUCUUCUCACCAGCAGUCAGCUCGCUCAGCUUGCAGCAACUCCAUCACAACUAAACACAAAACAAGAUGUGACAAAAGUCAUGGCAGUCAUCAACCCUGGUGACUUUGGUGCUUUCUUUGACACAGUCUCGCCAGCCAUUGAGGCCCACCCAGACAGCUACACAGACGAGGUGAAGUCUGCCUUCCUCCAGUCAGUUUAUGACAGAGCCGGUUUAUCCUCGCUAGCUGUUAGCGACAAAGAGUUUGUGCUGUGGCUCAGGCUGAGACUGAGGCCUCUCCUGGUCAAUCUCUCUCCCACCAUGGUGGCUCCUUUAUCUGACAUUGGGACUAACAGGAAUUGUAACAGCAGCCAAGAAAUCUAUACACUGCUGGACACACUGUAUGUGACACUCAGCAACAACACCC